rnacentral:tRNA from 1 species
AGCCCCGUAGUCUAGUGGCCAAGGUCGAGGCGGUGACUUGCAUGAUAUGGCAGGUUGCCGCGUCACCGCCGAGAGGAUAGCGGUCUCUGGAACCGCGGACGGCAGUUCGAAUCUGCCCGGGGCUACCA